rnacentral:rRNA from 1 species
UUCCGGUGCGGCAGCUAUACAUGCAAGUCGAGCGGACAGAUGGGAGCUUGCUCCCUGAUGUUAGCGGCGGACGGGUGAGUAACACGUGGGUAACCUGCCUGUAAGACUGGGAUAACUCCGGGAAACCGGGGCUAAUACCGGAUGCUUGAUUGAACCGCAUGGUUCAAUUAUAAAAGGUGGCUUUUAGCUACCACUUACAGAUGGACCCGCGGCGCAUUAGCUAGUUGGUGAGGUAACGGCUCACCAAGGCAACGAUGCGUAGCCGACCUGAGAGGGUGAUCGGCCACACUGGGACUGAGACACGGCCCAGACUCCUACGGGAGGCAGCAGUAGGGAAUCUUCCGCAAUGGACGAAAGUCUGACGGAGCAACGCCGCGUGAGUGAUGAAGGUUUUCGGAUCGUAAAACUCUGUUGUUAGGGAAGAACAAGUACCGUUCGAAUAGGGCGGUACCUUGACGGUACCUAACCAGAAAGCCACGGCUAACUACGUGCCAGCAGCCGCGGUAAUACGUAGGUGGCAAGCGUUGUCCGGAAUUAUUGGGCGUAAAGCGCGCGCAGGCGGUUUCUUAAGUCUGAUGUGAAAGCCCCCGGCUCAACCGGGGAGGGUCAUUGGAAACUGGGGAACUUGAGUGCAGAAGAGGAGAGUGGAAUUCCACGUGUAGCGGUGAAAUGCGUAGAGAUGUGGAGGAACACCAGUGGCGAAGGCGACUCUCUGGUCUGUAACUGACGCUGAGGCGCGAAAGCGUGGGGAGCGAACAGGAUUAGAUACCCUGGUAGUCCACGCCGUAAAACGAUGAGUGCUAAGUGUUAGAGGGUUUCCGCCCUUUAGUGCUGCAGCAAACGCAUUAAGCACUCCGCCUGGGGAGUACGGUCGCAAGACUGAAACUCAAAGGAAUUGACGGGGGCCCGCACAAGCGGUGGAGCAUGUGGUUUAAAUUCGAAGCAACGCGAAGAACCUUACCAGGUCUUGACAUCCCUCUGACAACCCUAGAGAUAGGGACUUCCCCUUUCGGGGGCAGAGUGACAGGUGGUGCAUGGAUGUCGUCAGCUCGUGUCGUGAGAUGUGGGUAGUCCCGCACGAGGCGCAACCCUUGAUC